GGGGAUUUAGCUCAGUGGUAGAGCUCUUGCUAGGCAAGCGCAAGGCCCUGGGUUCAGUUCCCAGCUCCG
rnacentral:tRNA from 1 species